AAUGAACGCUGGCGGCGCGCCUAAUACAUGCAAGUCGAGCGAGAAGACGUAGCAAUACGUUUGUAAAGCGGCGAACGGGUGAGGAAUACAUGGGUAACCUACCCUCGAGUGGGGAAUAACUAGCCGAAAGGUUAGCUAAUACCGCGUACGCUCCUUGGACUUCGGUUCAGGGAGGAAAGCGAUACCGUGGGUAUCGCGCUCUUGGUUGGGCUCAUGUCCUAUCAGCUUGUUGGUGAGGUAACGGCUCACCAAGGCUUCGACGGGUAGCUGGUCUGAGAGGACGAUCAGCCACACUGGCACUGCGACACGGGCCAGACUCCUACGGAGGCAGCAGUAAGGAAUAUUGCGCAAUGGGCGAAAGCCUGACGCAGCGACGCCGCGUGGGGGAUGAAGGUCUUCGGAUUGUAAACCCCUUUCGGGAGGGAAGAUGGAACGAGCAAUCGUUCGGACGGUACCUCCAG
rnacentral:rRNA from 1 species